GGAGGAUUAGGGAGAUGUGAAGGAAUAGGAGAUUCUGAUCCUAAUAGAAUGGAUAACUCUUUUUUACUACACAGCAAGGUGCGGUCGACCAAAUUUGGGUACAUUGCACGCAAAGGAUUAGCACAUGGUUGCAGAGCUUCCAAAGAUUGCACAGAGCCCCACAGCUUUCUAUGUCUAAACUUCUGCAAUGCAUAGUGCAGAUAUUAGCAUGCAGUUCCCAAAAGAUCAUUAGGCGCAUAAGGUGGAAGAGUACCUGACCAAUCUGGUAAAUUCCAUCUGCGGUUGCUAUGUGUUGUAUGAUUUCCCCAGCUGAGUAAUUUGCGACGAGAAGAUGUCCCAGCAGCGACACCACAGAAAAGGAAAUCCCCACUAUGGCAAAUAACUUGAAUUUGUUUUUGACAGCCAUCUUAGAUUGUCAUCCAUAUUUCAUAUUCUAUGCAAAGAUCCGAACGCCAUUCUGAACAGACAAAGGUUUCAGAAGAGCGUGCACUUUAUUGUAGCUGAUUCAAAGGAAUGCUUGACCUUGUGAGAUUGUUAGUGGUGAUUCUUUCAACUUAGAGAAUUCCAAUAGUGAUGUUUGAGGGAAGUACUGAUAGACAAUUCCCUUAGGGAUAAAAAGGCCAUCAACUAUGAAGCAUGGACAUUUCAAAAACCUUUUGAUGCUCAUUUUAGACAUGCGCCAGACAUUGACAUGACUCAAUACACGUCCAACAUGCCAAAAAUCCUUCUUAUUUUCUUUUUUUUUUUUCAAAAAUAGAGUUGGUCACAGUUGGUCACAAUUAGGACACACCCCAGCAUAGCUAGAAUGCAUCAACAUGAAUGGAUCACACACAAUCAGUCUCUGGUUCGAGAAAUUUAUUGUUCUUAUUGAAAAUAAAAUACACUGUUCUUAGUUUUUGUCAA